rnacentral:rRNA from 1 species
ACUCCUACGGGAGGCAGCAGUGGGGAAUUUUGGACAAUGGGGGAAACCCUGAUCCAGCAAUGCCGCGUGCAGGAUGAAGGCCUUCGGGUUGUAAACUGCUUUUGUACGGAACGUAAAAGUCUUGGGUUAAUACCCUGGGAUCAUGACGGUACCGUAAGAAUAAGCACCGGCUAACUACGUGCCAGCAGCCGCGGUAAUACGUAGGGUGCAAGGCGUUAAUCGGAAUUACUGGGCGUAAAGCGUGCGCAGGCGGUUUUGUAAAGACAGUGGUGAAAUUCCCCGGGCUCAACCUGGGAACUGCCAUUGUGACUGCAAGGCUGGAGUGCGGCAGAGGGGAUGGAAUUCCGCGUGUAGCAGUGAAAUGCGUAGAUAUGCGGAGGAACACCGAUGGCGAAGGCAAUCCCCUGGGCCUGCAACUGACGCUCAUGCACGAAAGCGUGGGGAGCAAACAGGAUUAGAUACCCCUGGUAGGCGUAGU